UUUCAAACUAGUAAGAGAGGCGCAUGUGUUAAGUCCUCUUGUGUAUCCAGCUUCAUCUUCCUGUGUAACCCUCUAAAGAAGCUUUGUUUUUUCACACUUUCUGUAUGGAAGUACUCAGCUUCAUUAAACGGACAAGAUUACUUCAUGCUCCUUCA